CCCGGCGACCGGCGCACGGGUGAGUAACACGUAUGCAACCUGGCCGCCACAGGGGGAUAACCCGCGGAAACGCGGCCUAAUACCCCGUGACGCCACCGGAGGGCAUCCUCCGGUGGCCAAAGGAGCGAUCCGGUGGCGGAUGGGCAUGCGGCGCAUUAGCUAGACGGCGGGGUGACGGCCCACCGUGGCGACGAUGCGUAGGGGUUCUGAGAGGAAGGCCCCCCACACUGGGACUGAGACACGGCCCAGACUCCUACGGGAGGCAGCAG
rnacentral:rRNA from 1 species